CAAUAGCGUAUAUUAAAGUUGUUGCAGUUAAAAAGCUCGUAGUUGGAUUUCUGGUGGGAGCGAUUGGUCUGGCGCUUAGCGCGAGUACUUGCAUCGUCUCCGGCCAUCCUUGGGGAGAGUCUGUCUGGCAUUAGGUUGUCGGGCAGAGGAUCCUCAUCGUUUACUGUGAAAAAAUUAGAGUGUUCAAAGCAGGCUUAUGCCGUUGAAUAUAUUAGCAUGGAAUAAUAAGAUAGGACUUUGGUACUAUUUUGUUGGUUUGCGCACCAAAGUAAUGAUUAAUAGGGACAGUUGGGGGUAUUCGUAUUCCGUUGUCAGAGGUGAAAUUCUUGGAUUUACGGAAGACGAACUACUGCGAAAGCAUUUACCAAGGAUGUUUUCAUUAA
rnacentral:rRNA from 1 species